GAGAGAUAAGACUAGUACGAGAGUGUAAAAUAUUUCUCUCACUACACGAGAACCUUUCUCUCUAGAACUCUAGAGCCUCCCCUUUCUAUACCAAACACAAUAUUUAAUUCUACUUUAUUCUCUCUUCUUCCCUCUAUGUCAAUCACAAUCUUUAAACAAUGUCCCAAUACUCAAUCGCUCGUAUAGGAAUAAUCAUACAUUACACAGGGCAUGACACGCCACCUGAUUUGGAAAAUUUUCACUUGUAUGUGGUUGAAAAACUCAAGGACUGCAAAAAUUUCACAGAACAACAACUUCAAUCCUGGGUUCCCCCAUUCUGAAAAUCCAAUGGCCCGAUUCAAGUUCAGAAAGUCCAUAACUCAAGAGCGUUUGUGGGAUUCGUUACGGGCCAUCCCGAGCGUCGCUUAUUUUUGUGGCGAUCGUUUGGGUUUGCGGAACACGUAUCUUGGUUUUUGGAUCGUAAGUCGAGGGUUCUGAACUUGGCGGCUCCUUUGCGGUGGUAGACUUCGGCGAGCACAAAGGUUACCUGAAAGGAGUCAUCAGCGAGGUCAUCCAUGACUCCCUCGGCGUCACUUUCCGACACUCAUUCAGGUACAAGCACCAGAAGGAGUUGUUCGUCGCUGCAGAGGGUAUGUACACUGGUCAGCCCGUGCUUUUGGAGAUUACGCCAUUGUUAUCUCUCACAGCCCUGAUAAUGAUACCUCUAGGUUCAAGUGUUUGAGAAGCAAUGCGGAUCCCUAACUCAGUACGGUAUCUCUAUUAUAUAAAGGAACAGCUGAGGGUGUUUAGGUAAUAACACUUUUCGUGUCCCCCUUAAAAAUGACUAAAACACCCUCUAUCUUUUACUUCAAACCCUUCGUCGUUUACCCACAAACUCUCUCCUCCUCUGCCGACAAACUGUUUAACCAUGAAAGCACAAACUCUCUCCCUCUCUCUCUCUCAACUCCAUCACCUUCCUCCUCUCCCUUUCUCUCUCCUCUCUUCUGAUUCAAAGAUUGCAAAAUCAGUAAAGUAAUUGAGGUGUUUCAAAGAUUGUAAAUUCGUCUGAUCGCGUUCUUUCGUAUUAUUCAUUCAAUUGUACUGAUUUCGUUCAUUUAAUUGAUUUGAUUUUGAUUUAUUCGACUAAAUUGAUUGAUGAAGUGGUUUCGAAGAUGGUAGAGGAUCUUCAUCCUCUUUCUUCUUUCACUUCCUAUAUUUCCUCCUCUGGUUUUAGUCUGCAUUAGACUCAAAACUCUUACUUCUCAAGGGAAAAACAAUUCGUCGAAGAUUUACCGAGUAUUAUGCCAACAAUAUAAGUCAGAUCAGAUGUAAUACUACUAAGUGCAGUUGGACAGAUUUAUAUACGGAACAGAGUACAAUUGCUAGAAGACAAGUAGUUUCUUUUUUUAAAGUUAUAGUUUUUCAUCCUUUUUGCUACAGAAAUCAAAUUGUUUAUUGUUCACUAUUUGUAUUUUAACAUUUAAACAAUGCAUAGAGAGAUUAUAUUCUGGCUGAAAUUUCAUACAGUCAGUUUAUUUUGAUUUGGUAUUUUGGGUUAAUUCCUAGAAUUGGAGGAUGUCAAUUACAAAAUUUACAAUGAGAAUGUUCUUUUUAUA